rnacentral:rRNA from 1 species
GACGAACGCUGGCGGCGUGCUUAACACAUGCAAGUCGAACGGUAAGGCCCCAGCUUGCUGGGGUACACGAGUGGCGAACGGGUGAGUAACACGUGGGUGACCUGCCCCGCACUUCGGGAUAAGCCUGGGAAACUGGGUCUAAUGCCGGAUAGGACCGCACCGUGAGGGUGUGGUGGAAAGUUUUUCGGUGUGGGAUGGGCCCGCGGCCUAUCAGCUUGUUGGUGGGGUAAUGGCCUACCAAGGCGGCGACGGGUAGCCGGCCUGAGAGGGUGGACGGCCACAUUGGGACUGAGACACGGCCCAGACUCCUACGGGAGGCAGCAGUGGGGAAUAUUGCACAAUGGGCGGAAGCCUGAUGCAGCGACGCCGCGUGGGGGAUGACGGCCUUCGGGUUGUAAACUCCUUUCACCAUCGACGAAGGUUUUCUGACGGUAGAUGGAGAAGAAGCACCGGCUAACUACGUG